AGCACCAUCGUAGCCUUCCUCCCACCCUCCUAGCCUGAGUACGUGCUAACAACAAUUAGCCUUCCUCACCCUUGUAGUGCAAAAGUAAUAUAUAUGGGAAAAACCCACAGAGAAUCCUAACAAUAAUUAGUCUAAUUAUUAUAUACUAAACAUCAUGCACGAGAUAAGGAAAGCCCGACAAGAUUGAUUAUGCCUUCAAACAUCUCCACCAUAUUUGGUAGGAGUAUGUAUUUAAGUAGUACGUUUCUCCAUCAAGCAAGGCGAUACAUCGCUGCGAGAUCACACCAGGUCACCAAGACGAUACAUCACCGGGAGAUCACACCAGGUCACCAUGGAGGUCACAUGAGUUUAUUAUCACCAUCUCAGCGUCGCUUUCAUCACCCGAAGGUGAGUUCACCUUUUGACAGAGCCAUCUGUUUCUCCGACGUGGUGCCGUCUUUCUUGUGGAUCUUCAUGGCGAACUACUACAAAAAAAAUGAUUCUCAUAGUUUCUGCAAUUCCUAGGCCAGAUAGGUUGUAAUUACACAAAAUCACUUAUCAAGAAAUAUUCUGCCACGUCUUUGAAUAAACUUCAAGAAUGAAACACAACGCUCACCUGCAUAUCGACCGCUGGUGGUCUCCAGGG
rnacentral:lncRNA from 1 species